CCGAUCUGACUUAGGGGAGACCUGAUAAUAGUCUUCAAAUAUGCUAAUGGCUAUGAUAAAGAAGAUGGUGACUAAUUGUUCUCCAUAUUCACUGAAGGAAGGACAGGAAGUAAUCAACUUAGUCCGCAGCAAGGGAGAUUUAGGUUAGAUAUUAGAAAAACCUUUCCAUCUAUA